GAUAUUAUUAUUAAAGGGCUGCAGUAUAUUGACUGUACAAAGGUAGCAUAAUCAUUAGUCUUUUAAUUGAAGACUUGUAUGAAGGAUUUGAUGAAAUAUAAACUGUCUCUAAUUUAUUAUAAUAAAAUUUAAUUUUUUAGUUAAAAAGCUAAAAUAAAAUUAAAAGACGAGAAGACCCUAUAGAGUUUUAUAAUUAAGUUAAUUAUUAUAUAAUAUAUAUAUAUAUAUAUAUUAAUUAAUUUUUUUAUUUUUUUGGGGUGAGAAAAAAAUUAAAAAAACUUUUUUUUUAUUUAAACAUUGAGAGUUGAUAAAAUGAUCCCUUAAAAAAGAUUAUAAAAAAAAAUUUCCUUAGGGGGAACAGCGCGAUAUUUUUUUUUUGUACAAAAAAAAAAAAAAAUUUGCGCCCCCUCUGUUGGAUUAAAAUAAAAUUUUUAUGCGAAAGUUUAAAAUUUUUUUCUGUUCGAUCUUUAAAAUCUUACAUGAUCUGAGUUCA
rnacentral:rRNA from 1 species